AGGUUUGAUGGCAAUGACGCAGCUAAUGAGGUUCUAACCGAGGCGCAUCUAUUGCUGCUUGAAAACUAUUUCCAAACCCCACACCCCCCCCCCCCCAAACACACACACCACAAAGGAUUUUCUGGAAGGGCUUCCCUCAGGGUUAAGCC